rnacentral:rRNA from 1 species
CCAGACCGCCAGCUAAGGUCCCCAAAUAUAGCUAAGUGGGAAACGAAGUGGGAAGGCUAAAACAGUCAGGAGGUUGGCUUAGAAGCAGCCACCCUUUAAAGAAAGCGUAAUAGCUCACUGAUCGAGUCGUCCUGCGCGGAAGAUGUAACGGGGCUAAGCUAUAUACCGAAGCUGCGGAUGCGUGCUUGCACGCAUGGUAGGAGAGCGUUCCGUAAGCCUGCGAAGGUGCCUUGUAAAGGGUGCUGGAGGUAUCGGAAGUGCGAAUGCUGACAUGAGUAGCGAUAAAGGGGGUGAAAGGCCCCCUCGCCGUAAGCCCAAGGUUUCCUACGCAACGUUCAUCGGCGUAGGGUGAGUCGGCCCCUAAGGCGAGGCAGAAAUGCGUAGCUGAUGGGAAGCAGGUCAAUAUUCCUGCACCAUUGUUAGAUGCGAUGGGGGGACGGAUCGCGGAAGGUUGUCCGGGUGUUGGAAGUCCCGGUCGCUGCAUUGGAGAAGGCGCUUAGGCAAAUCCGGGCGCAGGAUUCAAGGGUGUGGCGCGAGCUCCUUCGGGAGCGAAGCAAUUGGAAGUGGUUCCAAGAAAAGCCUCUAAGCUUCAGUCUAACGAUGACCGUACCGCAAACCGACACAGGUGGGCGAGAUGAGUAUUCUAAGGCGCUUGAGAGAACUCGGGAGAAGGAACUCGGCAAAUUGGUACCGUAACUUCGGGAUAAGGUACGCCCUUGUAGCUUGACCAGCCUGCGCUGGAAGGGUGAAGGGGUUGCAAUAAACUGGUGGCUGCGACUGUUUAAUAAAAACACAGCACUCUGCAAACACGAAAGUGGACGUAUAGGGUGUGACGCCUGCCCGGUGCCGGAAGAUUAAAUGAUGGGGUGCAAGCUCUUGAUUGAAGUCCCGGUAAACGGCGGCCGUAACUAUAACGGUCCUAAGGUAGCGAAAUUCCUUGUCGGGUAAGUUCCGACCUGCACGAAUGGCGUAACGAUGGCCACACUGUCUCCUCCCGAGACUCAGCGAAGUUGAAGUGUUUGUGAUGAUGCAAUCUACCCGCGGCUAGACGGAAAGACCCCAUGAACCUUUACUGUAGCUUUGCAUUGGACUUUGAACCGAUCUGUGUAGGAUAGGUGGGAGGCUAUGAAACCGGAACGCUAGUUUCGGUGGAGCCGUCCUUGAAAUACCACCCUGGUUUGUUUGAGGUUCUAACCUUGGCCCGUGAUCCGGGUCGGGGACAGUGCAUGGUAGGCAGUUUGACUGGGGCGGUCUCCUCCCAAAGCGUAACGGAGGAGUACGAAGGUACGCUAGGUACGGUCGGAAAUCGUGCUGAUAGUGCAAUGGCAUAAGCGUGCUUAACUGCGAGACCGACAAGUCGAGCAGGUGCGAAAGCAGGUCAUAGUGAUCCGGUGGUUCUGUAUGGAAGGGCCAUCGCUCAACGGAUAAAAGGUACUCUGGGGAUAACAGGCUGAUACCGCCCAAGAGUUCAUAUCGACGGCGGUGUUUGGCACCUCGAUGUCGGCUCAUCUCAUCCUGGGGCUGUAGCCGGUCCCAAGGGUAUGGCUGUUCGCCAUUUAAAGAGGUACGUGAGCUGGGUUUAAAACGUCGUGAGACAGUUUGGUCCCUAUCUGCCGUGGGCGUUGGAUAUUUGAAGGGGGCUGCUCCUAGUACGAGAGGACCGGAGUGGACGAACCUCUGGUGUACCGGUUGUCACGCCAGUGGCAUCGCCGGGUAGCUAUGUUCGGAAGAGAUAACCGCUGAAAGCAUCUAAGCGGGAAACUCGCCUUAAGAUGAGAUAUCCCUGGGGACUGGAUCCCCUUGAAGGGUCGUUCGAGACCAGGACGUUGAUAGGUCAGGUGUGUAAGCGCAGUAAUGCGUUCAGCUAACUGAUACUAAUUGCCCGUAAGGCUUGAUCCUAUAACA